GGACCCGCACAAGCGGUGGAGCAUGUGGUUUAAUUCGAUGCAACGCGAAGAACCUUACCAGGGUUUGACAUCCUGCGAAUCUCUUGGAAACAGGAGAGUGCCUUCGGGAACGCAGUGACAGGUGGUGCAUGGCUGUCGUCAGCUCGUGUCGUGAGAUGUUGGUUAAGUCCCGCAACGAGCGCAACCCACGUCUUUAGUUGCCAGCAUUUAGUUGGGCACUCUAGAGAGACUGCCGGUGAUAAACCGGAGGAAGGUGUGGAUGACGUCAAGUCAUCAUGCCCCUUACAUCCUGGGCUACACACGUGCUACAAUGGUUAAGACAAAGAGUCGCGAGCUCGCAAGAGU
rnacentral:rRNA from 1 species